GCCUUUGCUGGGGGUGGCGGGGAAGCCUCGAGCCGGUUGCGCUCGAGGCGGCGCUCGACGCCGCCCUCUCGUUCGGCGAGAGCAUGGGCU
rnacentral:tRNA from 1 species